UUCACUAUUUACCAUGGCUGUGUCUCAUUUCGCAUUCUUCCGUCAAUACACUGCUAAUGUGCACUGACCACUUACUGCUGUAAUGCCCACUUUCGAUGGUUAGUAUUGUCCCAAAAGGAACACUUAUGUUCAAAAACUUAACGGAAAUGACGAGUCGGCUCGGCUUGCCGCCUCUCAAAAUCUGAUAAAAAUCUAUUAAAUUGACCUUUGUCAAUCAAAAGAGACAGAUUCUGCAACUGUAAGGCCUAUUUCUCGCUUAAAAUGUUUUCAGAAAAACGUUUUGGUGAACUAUUUUCGUAAAAUUUGACAUUGUAUUCUGAACGAACAGCCAUCUGGCCGCCAUUAAGCUUAGUUGUGACAUCCAGGAGAAGCCAGACCCAUGUGAUGCGUUUGUCCAAUCAGCUGCCGGUCAACGCCCCUGGUCCCUCCCCUUUCUGUUUUGUCAAGAUGGAGCAGGUUUAGUGCACAUAGUGUCCAUCGUUC